rnacentral:rRNA from 1 species
UACGUACCGUCCAAACGUUAUCCGGAAUCACUGGGUUUAAAGGGUGCGUAGGCGGUCUGAUAAGUCAGUUGUGAAAUUCCCCGGCUUAACCGGGUGGACUGCGAUUGAUACUGUUGGACUUGAAUCAGGUUGAGGUAGGCGGAAUGUGACAUGUAGCGGUGAAAUGCUUAGAUAUGUCAUAGAACACCGAUUGCGAAGGCAGCUUGCUGGGCUUCGAUUGACGCUGAGGCACGAAAGCGUGGGGAGCAAACAGG